UGCAGAAUCCCGUGAACCAUCGAGUCUUUGAACGCAAGUUGCGCCCGAGGGACCAUCCCGAGGGCACGCCUGCCUGGGCGUUAGAAGCCCAUCCACGCUCGGCGCAUGCCCGAUGCGGACAAUGGCCCUCCGAGCCGCGAGGCGCGACGGGCACAAGUGCAUGGCCGUUGGUUGAGGUCGGGAGCGGCGAGUGGUGGGCUAACUGCGCACGCUGNCUCCGAACCUCACGUCGACUCAAGGCCUAGUCGGACCUCGAAACGAGGAGCACGUCGCCUAGCGCGGCAGAGCCUCGGACCGAUACCCCAGGUCAGGCGUGGCCACCCGCUGAGUUUAAGCAUAUCAAUAAG
rnacentral:rRNA from 1 species